UAGGGAAUCUUCGGCAAUGGACGAAAGUCUGACCGAGCAACGCCGCGUGAGUGAAGAAGGUUUCGGAUCGUAAAACCCUGUUGUUAGAGAAGAACAAGGACGUUAGUAACUGAACGUCCCCCGACGGUAUCUAACCAGAAAGCCACGGCUAACUACGUGCCAGCAGCCGCGGUAAUACGUAGGUGGCAAGCGUUGUCCGGAUUUAUUGGGCGUAAAGCGGGCGCAGGCGGUUUCUUAAGUCUGAUGUGAAAGCCCCCGGCUCAACCGGGGAGGGUCAUUGGAAACUGGGAGACUUGAGUGCAGAAGAGGAGAGUGGAAUUCCAUGUGUAGCGGUGAAAUGCGUAGAUAUAUGGAGGAACACCAGUGGCGAAGGCGGCUCUCUGGUCUGUAACUGACGCUGAGGCUCGAAAGCGUGGGGAGCAAACAGG
rnacentral:rRNA from 1 species